AACGAACGCUGGCGGCAUGCCUAACACAUGCAAGUCGAACGGGAUCCUAGCUUGCUAGGUGAGAGUGGCGGACGGGUGAGUAACACGUGGGAAUCUGCCUUUUGGUUCGGGAUAACCGCGGGAAACUGCGGCUAAUACCGAAUGCCCUCGAGAGAGGAAAGAUUUAUCGCCAGAAGAGGAGCCCGCGUCCGAUUAGGUAGUUGGUGGGGUAAAGGCCUACCAAGCCGACGAUCGGUAGCUGGUCUGAGAGGAUGAUCAGCCACACUGGGACUGAGAUACGGCCCAGACUCCUACGGGAGGCAGCAGUGGGGAAUAUUGGACAAUGGGCGAAAGCCUGAUCCAGCAAUGCCGCGUGGAUGAAGAAGGUCUUCGGAUUGUAAAGUCCUUUCGACGGGGACGAUGAUGACGGUACCCGUAGAAGAAGCCCCGGCUAACUUCGUGCCAGCAGCCGCGGUAAU
rnacentral:rRNA from 1 species